UCUAGCCGGCUACUAGUCCGUCGAUGUGUAGCUUUCAUUAGUUGCUUAUCGUCGGCGAAUAAGACUUCUUAGAGGGACCAGUGGCGUAUAGCCACGCGAGAUUGAGCAAUAACAGGUCUGUGAUGCCCUUAGAUGUUCGGGGCCGCACGCGCGCUACACUGAAGGAAUCAGCAGGUCUAUUGUCCCGCCUCGAGAGGGGUGGGUAAUCCUUUGAACCUCCUUCGUGCUAGGGAUUGGGGCUUGUAAUUAUUCCCCAUGAACGAGGAAUUCCAGUAAGCGCCAGUCAUCAGCUGGCGUNGANUNNGUUCCCNNGCCCNUU
rnacentral:rRNA from 1 species